UGGGGUAUGGCCAAGCUGGUUAAGGCACAUGGUUUUGAUCCAUGCAUUCCGAGGUUCGAGUCCUCGUACCCCAGCCA
rnacentral:tRNA from 2 species